UACGGAGGGUGCAAGCGUUAAUCGGAAUUACUGGGCGUAAAGCGCGCGUAGGCGGCGUGAUAAGCGAGAUGUGAAAUCCCCGGGCUUAACCUGGGAACUGCAUUUCGAACUGUCAUGCUAGAGUGCAGUAGAGGGUAGUGGAAUUUCCGGUGUAGCGGUGAAAUGCGUAGAUAUCGGAAGGAACACCAGUGGCGAAGGCGGCUACCUGGACUGACACUGACGCUGAGGUGCGAAAGCGUGGGGAGCAAACAGG
rnacentral:rRNA from 1 species